CAUUAACUGGCUACUUAAGGACCUCAACUAAUGAUGUAGGAGACAGAUUGACCUGGGUUUCACCUACACUGCAGAGUGGGUCAGAACCACUAUGAGAAGUUCAUCUGAGGAAUGUUUUGGGACCUAUCUCACUCACUUGUAAUGACCCCAUCCCCAUCUUUAUAUAUGUUCGAUGUAUUACUCGCAAGGCCAGAUUUUGUUGCCCAUUCCUAAUUGCUUUUGAAGUGAACACUUUCAGAAGGCAUUCAUGAGGCAACCACAUAACGAUGGAUCGGGACUCCCUGGAAACUGGUCUAGAUUCUACAAGCAUUUUAUUGAGUAAAUUCUUCUUGUUGCUGUCAUAUGACAAAAUGCUCAAUGGUGCAUGCCUUCUUGGAUUGUUGGAACCAAUCCUCAAAUUUCAAGAUUUUUACAGCAAAACAUGUUUUCCUGCUCAGAGCUGAAGCUUUCUAGUUCUUGAUAACAUAAGCAUAUUUGCAAACUUAUUCAAAUCUUUAACAUUCUUUUAAUCUUAGCGGUUGUUCUGUCUGACCCAUUUAAUGUCAUAGAAUCACAAAGUCAUACAGCUUGGAAACAGACCCCUCAGUCCAACUAGUCAAUGCCAACCAUCAUCC